rnacentral:rRNA from 1 species
UUAAGCGACUAAGCGUACACGGUGGAUGCCCUGGCAGUCAGAGGCGAUGAAGGACGUGCUAAUCUGCGAAAAGCGUCGGUAAGGUGAUAUGAACCGUUAUAACCGGCGAUGUCCGAAUGGGGAAACCCAGUGCAAUUCGUUGCACUAUCGUCAACUGAAUACAUAGGUUAACGAGGCGAACCGGGGGAACUGAAACAUCUAAGUACCCCGAGGAAAAGAAAUCAACCGAGAUUCCCCCAGUAGCGGCGAGCGAACGGGGAGCAGCCCAGAGUCUGAAUCAGCUUGUGUGUUAGUGGAACGGUCUGGAAAGUCCGACGGUACAGGGUGAUAGUCCCGUACACCAAAAUGCACAGGUUGUGAACUCGAAGAGUAGGGCGGGACACGUGGUAUCCUGUCUGAAUAUGGGGGGACCAUCCUCCAAGGCUAAAUACUCCUGACUGACCGAUAGUGAACCAGUACCGUGAGGGAAAGGCGAAAAGAACCCCGGCGAGGGGAGUGAAAAAGAACCUGAAACCGUGUACGUACAAGCAGUGGGAGCACCUUCGGGUGUGACUGCGUACCUUUUGUAUAAUGGGUCAGCGACUUAUAUUCUGUAGCAAGGUUAACCGUAUAGGGGAGCCGCAGGGAAACCGAGUCUUAACUGGGCGUUAAGUUGCAGGGUAUAGACCCGAAACCCGGUGAUUCAGCCAUGGGCAGGUUGAAGGUUGGGUAACACUAACUGGAGGACCGAACCGACUAAUGUUGAAAAAUUAGCGGAUGACUUGUGGCUGGGGGUGAAAGGCCAAUCAAACCGGGAGAUAGCUGGUUCUCCCCGAAAGCUAUUUAGGUAGCGCCUCGUGAACUCAUCUUCGGGGGUAGAGCACUGUUUCGGCUAGGGGGUCAUCCCGACUUACCAACCCGAUGCAAACUACGAAUACCGAAGAAUGUUAUCACGGGAGACACACGGCGGGUGCUAACGUCCGUCGUGAAGAGGGAAACAACCCAGACCGCCAGCUAAGGUCCCAAAGUCAUGGUUAAGUGGGAAACGAUGUGGGAAGGCACAGACAGCCAGGAUGUUGGCUUAGAAGCAGCCAUCAUUUAAAGAAAGCGUAAUAGCUCACUGGUCGAGUCGGCCUGCGCGGAAGAUGUAACGGGGCUAAACCAUGCACCGAAGCUGCGGCAGCGACACUAUGUGUUGUUGGGUAGGGGAGCGUUCUGUAAGCCUGCGAAGGUGACCUGUGAGGGUUGCUGGAGGUAUCAGAAGUGCGAAUGCUGACAUAAGUAACGAUAAAGCGGGUGAAAAGCCCGCUCGCCGGAAGACCAAGGGUUCCUGUCCAACGUUAAUCGGGGCAGGGUGAGUCGACCCUAAGGCGAGGCCGAAAGGCGUAGUCGAUGGGAAACAGGUUAAUAUUCCUGUACUUGGUGUUACUGCGAAGGGGACGGAGAAGGCUAUGUUAGCCGGGCGACGGUUGUCCCGGUUUAAGCAUGUAGGCUGGUUAUCCAGGCAAAUCCGGAUAAUCAAGGCUGAGGUGUGAUGACGAGGCACUACGGUGCUGAAGUAACAAAUGCCCUGCUUCCAGGAAAAGCCUCUAAGCAUCAGGUAACAUCAAAUCGUACCCCAAACCGACACAGGUGGUCAGGUAGAGAAUACCAAGGCGCUUGAGAGAACUCGGGUGAAGGAACUAGGCAAAAUGGUGCCGUAACUUCGGGAGAAGGCACGCUGGUGUAGGUGAAGUCCCUGCGGAUGGAGCUGAGACCAGUCGAAGAUACCAGCUGGCUGCAACUGUUUAUUAAAAACACAGCACUGUGCAAACACGAAAGUGGACGUAUACGGUGUGACGCCUGCCCGGUGCCGGAAGGUUAAUUGAUGGGGUUAUCCGUAAGGAGAAGCUCUUGAUCGAAGCCCCGGUAAACGGCGGCCGUAACUAUAACGGUCCUAAGGUAGCGAAAUUCCUUGUCGGGUAAGUUCCGACCUGCACGAAUGGCGUAAUGAUGGCCAGGCUGUCUCCACCCGAGACUCAGUGAAAUUGAACUCGCUGUGAAGAUGCAGUGUACCCGCGGCAAGACGGAAAGACCCCGUGAACCUUUACUAUAGCUUGACACUGAACAUUGAGCCUUGAUGUGUAGGAUAGGUGGGAGGCUUUGAAGCGUGGACGCCAGUCUGCGUGGAGCCAACCUUGAAAUACCACCCUUUAAUGUUUGAUGUUCUAACGUUGGCCCCUGACCGGGGUUGCGGACAGUGUCUGGUGGGUAGUUUGACUGGGGCGGUCUCCUCCCAAAGCGUAACGGAGGAGCACGAAGGUUAGCUAAUCCUGGUCGGACAUCAGGAGGUUAGUGCAAUGGCAUAAGCUAGCUUGACUGCGAGCGUGACGGCGCGAGCAGGUGCGAAAGCAGGUCAUAGUGAUCCGGUGGUUCUGAAUGGAAGGGCCAUCGCUCAACGGAUAAAAGGUACUCCGGGGAUAACAGGCUGAUACCGCCCAAGAGUUCAUAUCGACGGCGGUGUUUGGCACCUCGAUGUCGGCUCAUCACAUCCUGGGGCUGAAGUAGGUCCCAAGGGUAUGGCUGUUCGCCAUUUAAAGUGGUACGCGAGCUGGGUUUAGAACGUCGUGAGACAGUUCGGUCCCUAUCGCCGUGGGCGCUGGAGAAUUGAGGGGCUGCUCCUAGUACGAGAGGACCGGAGUGGACGCAUCACUGGUGUUCGGGUUGUCAUGCCAAUGGCACUGCCCGGUAGCUAAAUGCGGAAGAGAUAAGUGCUGAAAGCAUCUAAGCACGAAACUUGCCCCGAGAUGAGUUCUCCCUGAGACUUUAAGUCUCCUGAAGGAACGUUGAAGACGACGACGUUGAUAGGCCGGGUGUGUAAGCGCAGCGAUGCGUUGAGCUAACCGGUACUAAUGAACCGUGAGGCUUAACCU